GUGAAUGGUCCAUGCCAGGGGAGAUUUUACCAACACAAGUCAAACUGUCAGUGAAUUUAUACACACUGGACUCUGUGAGGACGUUGUAAAAACAUUGUCAAAACAUUCGUCAUCAAGCCUCUCUCUCUGGUGGUUACAGCACUGCAACUUUUCAGUGCCGUGACCCCGUUGACCCAAACACCACUGUCAUUACUCUUGGCUGCCAGGAGGUGGGACAGAAUGAAACUUUUAUAGUGCCCCAGAGAGCCCAUUAUCUCUCCAGGAGAAAAGAGAAAAAUAAGGCAGUAAAAUGGUAAACACUGGCCAUUUUGAACAGGGUUUCCCCAGGACUCGCACGAGAGCUCUUAAUGAGUCUUCCACCCAUCAUAGCAACAUGCAGCAUCCUAUCAAGUGCCUCCCAAGUGAAAAAGGCCAAAUAAGAAAGCAGGCACCUGGGGGAGAGGAACAUCUGUGUGCGGUUGAUCAUGCCUGUUUCUCAUUCAUGCUUUAUGCCUUGUCUGGUAAGCCCAGACAGCAGGUGCAUCUCUCAGUAAGGCACCCUGACAGAUAAGCUUUAGCUGCUGAAGCGUGCCACCUGAUUUUUCUUCAGUCAAAUCAGAAGAAGAUGAUGUGAUGGAAUUACAGGACCUCCAUUUCACAUUCAUAUUAUAACAACAUAGACUGCAACAGCAAGAGGACUGCAGUAUUGCAAUUUUAAAGCAAACGUGGACUUUAAAAUAGCAUUUGCUUAUGCUACAUGUUUUGAAUUAUUUGCGUACAUUAAUUUGAUCAUGAUGAAAUCCAAAUUUCAGCAGGUUAUUAGUCCCAGUAUUUUUUUACAGUGUUAUUAAAAUAUAUUUUUCCUAUUUUUUUUUAAUUUGUAUUUCAUAAUAUCACAAUAAUAUGAAUAUUAUAAUCGAUAAUCACAAUAAAAUCAUCAAGUAUUAAUAUUUUAUAGUCA
ensembl:lncRNA